UCAGGACGAACGCUGGCGGCGUGCCUAAUACAUGCAAGUCGAACGGUCUUUCUAUGGAAGUUUGCUUCCAACUGAAAAGAUAGUGGGCGAACGGGUGAGUAACACGUGGGUAACCUGCCCAUAAGAGGGGGAUAACAUCCGGAAACGGGUGCUAAUACCGCAUAGUUUUCUUGAUCGCAUGAUCGGGAAAGGAAAGACGGCCUUUGUGCUGUCGCUUAUGGAUGGACCCGCGGCGUAUUAGUUAGUUGGUGAGGUAACGGCUCACCAAGACGAUGAUACGUAGCCGACCUGAGAGGGUGAUCGGCCACAUUGGGACUGAGACACGGCCCAAACUCCUACGGGAGGCAGCAGUAGGGAAUCUUCCGCAAUGGACGAAAGUCUGACGGAGCAACGCCGCGUGAGUGAAGAAAAGGUUUUCGGAUCGUAAAACUCUGUUGUCAGAGAAGAACAAGUUGGAGAGUAACUGCUCCAGCCUUGACGGUAUCUGACCAGAAAGCCACGGCUAACUACGUGCCAGCCGCUGC
rnacentral:rRNA from 1 species